rnacentral:rRNA from 1 species
CCUACGGGAGGCAGCAGUGGGGAAUAUUGGACAAUGGGGGCAACCCUGAUCCAGCCAUGCCGCGUGUGUGAAGAAGGCCCUCGGGUUGUAAAGCACUUUCAGUGAGGAAGAACGCCUGGUGGUUAAUACCCAUCAGGAAAGACAUCACUCACAGAAGAAGCACCGGCUAACUCCGUGCCAGCAGCCGCGGUAAUACGGAGGGUGCGAGCGUUAAUCGGAAUUACUGGGCGUAAAGCGCGCGUAGGUGGCUUGAUAAGCCGGUUGUGAAAGCCCCGGGCUCAACCUGGGAACGGCAUCCGGAACUGGCAAGCUAGAGUGCAGGAGAGGAAGGUGGAAUUCCCGGUGUAGCGGUGAAAUGCGUAGAGAUCGGGAGGAAUACCAGUGGCGAAGGCGGCCUUCUGGACUGACACUGACACUGAGGUGCGAAAGCGUGGGUAGCAAACAGGAUUAGAUACCCGAGUAGUC